rnacentral:rRNA from 1 species
AAAUUGAAGAGUUUGAUCAUGGCUCAGAUUGAACGCUGGCGGCAGGCCUAACACAUGCAAGUCGAACGGUAACAGGAAACAGCUUGCUGUUUCGCUGACGAGUGGCGGACGGGUGAGUAAUGUCUGGGA